UCCUUGGUGUUCCAAUGGCUAAGACUCUGCAUUCCCAGUGCAGGAGGUCCGGGUUUGAUUCCUGGUCAGGGAA
rnacentral:tRNA from 1 species